UUAUCAAGUAUUUUUGGUCAAGUUUCUAGUGCAAAUAUCUCAGCUCACUUAAAAGACGAUAAAACUAACUUGCAAGCAUCUUUUCAGUAAGAUGUAAGAGCUUGUUUUAAGCAAAUAAUUCCUUGAUAUUGAUGAAAAAGUAUUAUUUC